rnacentral:rRNA from 1 species
AUUGAACGCUGGCGGCAUGCCUUACACAUGCAAGUCGAACGGUAACAGGUCUUCGGAUGCUGACGAGUGGCGAACGGGUGAGUAAUACAUCGGAACGUGCCUAGUAGUGGGGGAUAACUACUCGAAAGAGUGGCUAAUACCGCAUGAGAUCUACGGAUGAAAGCAGGGGAUCGCAAGACCUUGUGCUACUAGAGCGGCCGAUGGCAGAUUAGGUAGUUGGUGGGAUAAAAGCUUACCAAGCCGACGAUCUGUAGCUGGUCUGAGAGGACGAUCAGCCACACUGGGACUGAGACACGGCCCAGACUCCUACGGGAGGCAGCAGUGGGGAAUUUUGGACAAUGGGCGAAAGCCUGAUCCAGCAAUGCCGCGUGCAGGAUGAAGGCCUUCGGGUUGUAAACUGCUUUUGUACGGAGCGAAAAGGUCUCCUCUAAUACAGGGGGCUCAUGACGGUACCGUAAGAAUAAGCACCGGCUAACUACGUGCCAGCAGCCGCGGUAA